GCCUGUCAAAAUUAGACAUAAAAAGAGGAGCCUGAGCCCAGCUCGCUCUGUCCUCCGCUUGGGCCAGAUCCCACCUCGCUGCAUCUGAGACCUCUCUGUCAGGAUCACGGGAUGGACUUUUCCUCCUCAUUUGGCAUGGGUCAUCUUGUGACCACCGCCACCAUCGUACUCUAAGAUCUUGGAGGAGCUCAUCUCUGGCUCACAGCCUAUACCUCAUAGACACCCCGCACUCAGCCUCCCUCUCGCCCUUGCGGACUGCACUCCCCGUCGCAGGGUCAGCAUAGGAUGCUCUGUGCUACUCAUCCCAUCGGUGACUUCCUUGGCCAACACUGCUACCGCGCCUGCCAUGCGACCCCGCCCCCCUCGGAGCGGCCCUGUGGUCUGACUUCAGCAGCACUUUCCGGCAGGAGACUGGGCACUCGCUGUCACCCGGGGGCGGCCCCCCUCAACGUGAUCUGAGCAUCCGUCCGGGGGCCGACAGCCCUGGGCUGCAGGGUGACUGUCGUGCUGGCCCCGGCUCCCUGCCCACUGG